rnacentral:rRNA from 1 species
GGAGGAGCCUGCACUAGAUUAGUUUGUUGGUGGGGUAAUGGCCUACCAAGACUGUGAUCUAUAGCUGAUUUGAGAGGAUGAUCAGCCACAUUGGGACUGAGACACGGCCCAAACUCCUACGGGAGGCAGCAGUGGGGAAUCUUGCACAAUGGAGGAAACUCUGAUGCAGCGAUGCCGCGUGAGUGAAGAAGGCCUUUGGGUUGUAAAGCUCUUUCGUCGGGGAAGAAAAUGACUGUACCCGAAUAAGAAGGUCCGGCUAACUUCGUGCCAGCAGCCGCGGUAAUACGGAGGGGGCAAGCGUUGUUCGGAAUUACUGGGCGUAAAGGGCACGUAGGCGGCAAUGCGGGUCAGGUGUGAAAGCCCCGGGCUUAACCUGGGAACUGCACUUGAAACUGCAUUGCUAGAGGACGGAAGAGGAGAAUGGAAUUCCCAGUGUAGAGGUGAAAUUCGUAGAUAUUGGGAAGAACACCAGUGGCGAAGGCGAUUCUCUGGUCCGUAUCUGACGCUGAGGUGCGAAAGCGUGGGGAGCGAACAGGAUUAGAUACCCUGGUAGUCCACGCUGUAAACGAUGAUUACUCGCUAUUGGCGAUACACUGUCAGUGGCUUAGCGAAAGUGAUAAGUAAUCCACCUGGGGAGUACGAUCGCAAGGUUGAAACUCAAAGGAAUUGACGGGGGCCCGCACAAGCGGUGGAGCAUGUGGUUUAAUUCGAUGCAACGCGAAGAACCUUACCAGCCCUUGACAUGGGGAGUAUGGUCAGUGGAGACACUGUCCUUCAGUUCGGCUGGCUCCCACACAGGUGCUGCAUGGCUGUCGUCAGCUCGUGUCGUGAGAUGUUGGGUUAAGUCCCGCAACGAGCGCAACCCCUGUCGUUAGUUACUAUGUCUAACGAGACUGCUUCCAUUGGAAGAGGAAGGUGGGGACGAGGUCAAGUCGUCAUGGCUCUUACGCCUAGGGCUACACACACGCUACAAUGGUCGGAAACAAUGGGCUGCAACAGCGCGAGCUGAAGCGAAUCCCCAAAGCCGAUCUCAGUUGGAAUUGUAGGCUGCAACUCGCCUACAUGAACGUGGAGUUGCUAGUAACCGUAGGUCAGCACACUACGGUGAAUACGUUCUCGGGUCUUGUACACACCGCCCGUCAAGUCAUGGAAGUCGGUAACACUUGAAGUCGUUAGGCCAACCCUUUUGGGAGGCAGACGCCGAGGGUGGGACUGGUGACUGGGACUAAGUCGUAACAAGGUAACC